AAGUCGUAACAAGGUUUCCGUAGGUGCCAACGUUAAACAACCCUGUGAACUUUCAGCGCUCUUGUAACCCAUGCGGAACAGCAAUCCCGGUAAAUCAAUGGCGGAACAGUUUUGAUUCGGGACCUCUGUCCAAAAGGUAUCAAGUUACAAUCGAGAGAGGAGCAGCGGCAUGGUUUCCCUAAGCAGUGCAGAAGGAUCUACUGAGUACGGAUAACGCAUCACGGUUGCCAGAGGUCGAUCACCGGCCGGCAGACAUGUCACAGGGCUUCAUUCACACCUUGCCUAAUCAUGCCCCGCGGAAACACCGGGCACAAAAACUGAACAACUGUUAACAAUGGAUAUCUUGGUUCUC
rnacentral:misc_RNA from 1 species